GCCUCCUGCCUUCAUAACCACAACUUGGGCACAUAUAUAUUUUUAAGCUAAAAGACUUUUCCGUUACCGUCUCAUUUGAAGAAGUGUCAUACGGAAAUCGCACAGUCCCUUCUUAUAUAGGAGGUAAAUGUGACCUUGAUUUGUGAGCAUGAAGUUGGUCUCUGUAAAUGAGGUGGAGAUCAGGAGCUGUACGGGAUUCCUGUUGUCACUGCGCACAGAGCGCAUGGGAUGCCGCGCGCCGCUGACACCAACACAACGCUAUCUGCUCACUUUACGCAACACAGGACGUUCCCGCGCUCUCCUCUCGCGUCUUUAAUCAAACCUUUUACCUAUAUUUGUAUUUUCCUACCUCAUCUGGAUUCAAACAUGACUGGACUGAAGUUGAAAUGCGCACUGAUUUUGUGCGUCCUGUUACUGCCGUCCUCUCAUCCGAAUAGCCAGGUGCUGGACUGUCGCGAAGUGCGCUCGUCUUUUCAGUUUCUGUACCCGGGGAUGAAAUGGACCCCAGAAACGCCGGUCUCAGGCUCGGAUCUGCAGGUGUGCCAGCCGAAAGGCCUGACCUGCUGUUCCCGCAAAAUGGAGGAGCGCUACCUGCUUAUUGCCAAACAGAAUAUGGAGUCGAGUCUCCAGGCUACCAGCGCUCAGCUUAAAGUUCUCAUCAUUCAGAAUGCCGCCCUCUUUCAAGAGGCCUUUGACAUGGUGCUUCGUCUGGGUCGUAAUUCCACUCUGAUGCUGAUAAGGGAUGAUUUUCCUGGUUUAGGACACGGGGCCAGCGGAGCCAUCAUGCAGCUGUUUACAGAUAUGUCCCUGUACAUCCUGGGCUCCGAUGCCAAUGUAAACGACAUGGUUUCCACCUUCUACUCACGCCUUUUUCCUCUCACCUACCGUCGUCUCCUUGGCAACGGGCAGGUGACGGGCAUCUCAGAGGAAUGCCUGCGCGGGGCCUGGCGUGGAUCCUCUGCAUACGGGUCCUUUCCCAAGAUGAUGAUGACGCGGCUUUCUCGAUCGCUCCUGGCCACUCGGGUCUUCCUGCAGGCACUGAAUCUGGGCAUUGAAGUGGUCAACACUACUCAGCACCUGCGGGCAGGAAAGGACUGCGGGCGCUCGCUGCUGAAGCUGUGGUACUGCCCGCACUGUCAGGGUCUCUUGGAGGCUCGUCCGUGCCGCCCGCUCUGCGUAAGCACCAUGGGGGCCUGUCUGGGAGGAGCGGCGGAGGUACAGCCUCACUGGAGGGCGUAUGUGGAUGAACUGGGGUCACUCGCUGGUGCUAUGAAGGGGGAGCAGGACAUUGAGGCUGUGGUGCUCAGGCUGCAUGUCGUUAUUAGACAAGCUCUCAAACAAGCUGUAGCGACUAAAAGCAAAGUGAGCGCACAGGUAAACAGUAUAUGUGUGCACACGCCAUCCCGUGUGUCUCGUUCUGUGACGCCGAAAGAACCCGCUUCUGCCUCGCCGCUGACCCAAAGCCGACCGUUAGUGAACUUUGACCCGGAUGAGACCCUCUUCGGACGCCGCAGGGAGUUUAUCUCAGGUCUGAGGAGCUUCAGUCAGUUCUACAGUGGGCUCGGAGAGGCUUUGUGCAGUAAGGAGACGACAACACUCAACAGCUCCCUCUGCUGGAAUGGACAAGAGAUGACAGACAAGUUUUCUGGUCCAGGUCUGAAAAGAGUCCAUCCUCACGGGCACGGCUCCGAAUCCAGACAAAAACCUCCUGAGCCCGUCAUCAGCCAGAUCAUAGACAAACUCAAACACAUCAAUCAGAUAUCCACGAGUGAUGUGCUGUGACGCACGGCCAAGAUAGCGAUGGCAGACACCACCUACUAUUGGCUUCAAAAAUGAUCUUCAGAAACCUAUGGGUGACAUCACAGACAAUAUUAUAACACUAUUUUUUUCAAAAACAUGUUUUCAAGUUGUAUAAAUAGCCAUCCAAAACGUUGUUUUUUAAAUGCCCCCUGAAAGUUAAGCACCUCCUAUCACUGACGAUAUGUUGAAAAAGAAAAUAAUGAUACAUUUUUUGUGUAUCAUUAAAUGUAUGUAUGUGUAUGACACUAUUUAAAGUGUAAAUAAUUUUGUAUUUUUUUUCUUUAGGGUGGCACCAGCUCGAAAUUUAAUCUGUGGUGCCAAAUGAAAGCAUCAUGUUGUACCUCAGCUGGUCGCUGCACGACGUCUGUGUGUGUAUUUGUGUUUGUUUGUGUGUGUGUGUGUGGUUGUGGCUUCAUCCAUUCACCCUUUUGUCCAUACGUCCCAUGCCAAACAGUUGUCCUCAAGCCUUUCUUUCUUUUUUUGUUUCUCCCUCUGCCUUUUUUUGGAUUUGUUUUAAAAUACCCUCAACCGCAUCCCUCUCUUUACGACUGUUUGGUUUCAAAGUUAAAAUGGUUUGUGGGGAGAGCCCUCUCACGUCGUUACUGGGCAACGGUCUUCGGAAAGGAAUUCAGAGCCCUCAAUAAAUGUGCUCAGGGCUUAGACUCAUGCCGCUUUCCGAAAACAUGCUGUUAAAACAAGAGAGCAGAGUGCAUUAAAGGCCCAUUUCGCACCGAAAUACCACAUUGGGAAAAGAGGCACUUUUGUUUAUCUUUCAAUUUCAUUAACAGCAAAAGUCAUUUUUCAUCAAUACAUAGUUGGCGUUAUUCCUUUUGACACCCAUGUCAGACUUCUUUUGUCUGUUUUAUGCUUUUUGGUGGCGUUGCCGGUGGGCAAAUGAAUCAAAAAUGAAUCAGUUUCUCUGUCGCUGGCCCUGCGGACUUGUUCAAACAGAUGCUUCUGUGCCUCCUGUGUUCGGGUCUGAAUGGAGGUCUGUAUGGAGAGCUGGUGGUAUAUGUUGUAUGACUUUCCCUGCUGACCUCCUGAGAAUGUGCUGACUUUAAAUCACAGAUGGGGGUUUGUGUUUUUAGUAGGGCCUGUUUAUCUUCUGAGGUGUAUAAUGUAAUAUAAUAAUUGCCCGUUUAUAGUUUUUCUUUUGAGUCGUACUGGGUGCUGGUCGGAAGCCGUUGCUCUAUGUGAAGCCAUCCAUAGCAAGACCCAUCUGAUCUCAAUUUUCUCUUGUAGACAAAAACAACAACAACGAAAACAGCAAGCGCAUGCCUGUGUCCGCACAUCGGAAGGAAAUCAAUAAAAAAGAGAGACGGAGUAGAAAGAUUAAAGGAAAAGCAGAAGGAGGAGGAGGAGGCUGGAAUUUUUUGCAAUUAAAUUUUGGCAAAGCACAGCAGCGGUCGAUCUUUUGCGGAUGGUGACGUUGCCUGAGAAGCGAUGGAGGGCUCGACCAGCAGGAGGCACUGCAAAAAGAGAUCCAUCCGGGCAGGGCCGAGCAGACGAGGAUGAGGAGGGUCU